CGAACCCCGACGCUCCGGUGCCCCCUGGUGCCCGCACGGCCGCACUAACCGGCGGACAGACGGGAGGCCUGCGGAUUCAGGAUGGCUCCUUGGACUCUCCCCACCCUCCCCGCCCUCCGCUUCUCCCCGGGGCUGCUAAGGAACCAACAUGACAUUGGCUGGGCCCAAGGAAGAGAGGACAGGGCCAAAACAGUAAUGGGAUACGUGAACCUCUCAGCGGUUCCCGGAAUUCGGGAUGCUGCAGAUUUAGGCCUGGGACCUGAGUAUUCAGUGCUGAAGAAAGCCGAAGACCAAGGAGUCCCCGUUGGAAACAAAGGCACGCGCUGUCCUGCCAACCCCCAUGCAGCCUCCCUACAAGGCUGAAGCUUUUUCUAGAAACAUCCCACAAGAGACACGAGGUGAUGGACUUGUGAUCCCCACCCAGAUCCCUGCACCAAACCCAGAAGAAGAGGAUGAGGGCCAUCUGUAAGUACUGUGUCCUCAGCAGGCAGAACCUCCAGGGAUGUUUUGGGGAGAUAAGAUGGCAGAUCAUGAUCAGGGUCAUGGGCCCAAUCACUCCUCUCAGGCCACUCCUCUGCAAGGCCUGCUCCAGCCAUGCUCCUCCCCUUCCCACUCUGGUCCACAAGCGGCAGUGUCGGGAAUGUAAGGUUCAUGAGAGGAGGGGUCCAGCCCGUCUUGUUCUAUAAUGGGGCCAGUACAGCAUUCAGUGUCUGGGAUAUAAUAAUGUCCAAAAAUGUCCAAAUGCUGAAUGGAUGAAUGAAUUAAUUAAAGUUUUAAGAAAAUAAUUCAUCAUGGGAUCCUUUUUCUUACACCUAGUAACAGCACACCUGGGGCCUUUCAAAACUAUUCUAGUCCUCAUAGUCUCCAUCUAGAGACUAGAAAGUGAAGUACACUCAGGAUCUGUACUUCAUUAUUCAGCCAACUGCAUAGUUUUAAUAUGUCCUACUAAUUAUUGAUCUGUGUUCUUUUUGUCUCCCACACUAGAUGAUAAGUUCCUUGAUGGCAGAAACUUUCCUUUAUUUGCUGAAUUUACAGUUGAUAGAUUUGCCAUCAUGCUGUGCCAUUCCUGGAUUCCAUGCUAAACUUACUUUUCUCAUGACUUCAGCAUGAAAAUCUUGUGUCAGAAGAGAAUAAAUUUGGUGGUUUUUGAGUUAGAGUCCUUUCUGCUGAUUUCCUGGCCUCCUCGUAAAAUCGUGGGCCUAGUUAAGAUUGCAAAAGAUCUGGAAAUUUUAGACUGAUAAGCAGAAACCAACAACAUAAAGUAAAAGACUGAAUUUAUAAACUUUAUAUUCAGAACACCAACAGUACAAGUGCAAUGUGGUAGAGAAGACAUUACUUUCCAUGGGGAAAAGAUCAGGAUGUUUUAUUGUCCAACAAAAUAAGGACAAAAUGUAGAAUUGCAGAAAGGAACCAAAAUAAUAUUUAAAAUUUGAAAAAUUAUAAAUUCAAGAACCAAAAGAUAAAAUAACCCAAAUUAGGAAUUAAAUGAAUAAGUUUAACAACUGCUUAGAAAAAGAUGAAAAAAUAAUUAGUAAGAGAUAACAAUGGUCAAAAAAUAAAAUGAAUUAUGGAGAGACAAAGGAGAUGAAAAACACAAUACAAAUGUAAGAGAAAUAAGAAAUACAAUAAGUUGGACCUACUUUUGUAAUCCCAGAGAAAAAAGAAUGAAACAGAAGCAAUCUUUGAAGGGAAAAUGGUUGAGACGUGUUCAAAAUCAAUGCAAGAAUUAAAA
ensembl:lncRNA